rnacentral:rRNA from 1 species
UACGUAGGGUGCGAGCGUUGUCCGGAAUUAUUGGGCGUAAAGAGCUUGUAGGCGGUUUGUCGCGUCUGCCGUGAAAAUCCGGGGCUCAACCCCGGACUUGCGGUGGGUACGGGCAGACUAGAGUGUGGUAGGGGAGACUGGAAUUCCUGGUGUAGCGGUGAAAUGCGCAGGUAUCAGGAGGAACACCGAUGGCGAAGGCAGGUCUCUGGGCCACUACUGACGCUGAGAAGCGAAAGCGUGGGGAGCGAACAGG